GCACACCAUAGUUAGGCAAUCGGUGUAUCUUAAACCCUGACUCGCGGCUAGUAAGUAGCGUGUGGAUCGUAGCCAUGGUGCGCU
rnacentral:tRNA from 1 species